rnacentral:tRNA from 1 species
GGGGGCAUAGCUCAGCUGGUAGAGCGUCUGCAUGGCAUGCAGAAGGUCUGGGGUUCGACUCCCCAUGCCUCCACCA